CUCUGGGAGAGCAGGGCACACCUCUCCGCUGCUCCAAGAAUGGCUUGAGAAAGCAAGUUAUAGAGUGCUACUCUCCAGAGCGAUGCAGCGGAGCCUGGUCACCUGAGAAGGUAAAUGCAGACUUCGAUUCUGCUUCUGUGAAUUGGCAACCUGCCUACAUGGUUCACCGUCACACCCCAUGUGGAGGAAGCAGAAAUGAAAUCGCCCCAGCCGCCCAAGGAUAUGAAGAACACAACCUCUGCUCCCUGAGAGCCCUCACUCCAAGCGCUCUGAGCCCACCUGGAAGGCUCUCCCCCAGCUGGCCUGGUCAGCCAGGAAGCCCUGCAACUGUGCGGGCGACCUCUCCCCUAAUCGCUCCAUCAGAAGGUGGUGGAUUAAUGUCUGCUGCCAGGAUAAGAAACGGGUCCCCAAGUAAAAUCCACAGUGGAAGGA